CCUACGGGAGGCAGCAGUGAGGAAUAUUGGUCAAUGGACGAGAGUCUGAACCAGCCAAGUAGCGUGAAGGAUGACUGCCCUAUGGGUUGUAAACUUCUUUUAUAAAGGAAUAAAACGAGGCACGUGUGCCUUUUUGCAUGUACUUUAUGAAUAAGGAUCGGCUAACUCCGUGCCAGCAGCCGCGGUAAUACGGAGGAUCCGAGCGUUAUCCGGAUUUAUUGGGUUUAAAGGGAGCGUAGAUGGGUUGUUAAGUCAGUUGUGAAAGUUUGCGGCUCAACCGGAAAAUUGCAAUUGAUACUGGCAGUCGUGAGUACAGUUGAGGUAGGCGGAAUUCGUGGUGUAGCGGUGAAAUGCUUAGAUAUCACGAAGAACCCCGAUUGCGAAGGCAGCUUACUAAACUGUGACUGACAUUGAUGCGCGAAAGUGUGGGUAUCAAACAGGAUUAGAUACCCGUGUAGUC
rnacentral:rRNA from 1 species